rnacentral:tRNA from 1 species
GCGCCGAUGGUCUAGUGGUAUGACUUUGGCCUUCCAAGCCAACUGCCCGGGUUCAAAUCCCGGUCGGCGCA